rfam:Triticum aestivum genome assembly, contig: Triticum_aestivum_CS42_TGACv1_scaffold_392817_5AS
UUCAUACUCCCUCCAUCCCAAAAUUCUUGUCUUGGAGUUGCCCAGAUACAGAUGUAUCUAAUACUAAAAUGUGACUUGAUACAUCCAUAUCUAAACAAAUCUAAGACAAGAAUUUUGGGGCAGAGGGAGUACUUG